rfam:Felis catus isolate Cinnamon breed Abyssinian chromosome C2, whole genome shotgun sequence.
GCCUGAGUGGCUCAGUCGGUUAAGCAUCUGACUUCAGCUCAGGUCAUGAUCUCACGGUUUGCGGGUUCGGGCCCCACGUCAGGCU